rnacentral:rRNA from 1 species
UACGAAGGGUGCGAGCGUUAUUCGAAAUUACUGGGCGUCAAGGGUGCGUAGACGGUAUGUUAAGUUUGUUGUUACAGACUCUGGCCUAACUGGAGGGUUGCAAUGAAAACUGGCGUACUAGAGGGUGAGAGAGAGAAGUGGAAUUCCCGGAGUAGCGGUAAAAUGCGUGGAUCUCGGGAGGAACACCAAUGGCGAAGGCAGCGUAUUGGCUCAUAUCUGACGUUGAGGCACGAAAGCGUGGGGAGCAAACAGG